GGGCAACAUGACUCGAUCACACCAGAAAUCAAAGCUCAUCGAUCAUGCAUCGUGUCAGGAUUUAGGAAUUACAGUGUAAAUAAAUUAAUAUGUAUGCUCAGAAUUGUUUGAAACAAGCAGAGAUAUAAUUAAUAGCUGAGAUUUGACUCAGAAUGUGAAUUCUGAACAUACGAGGUUUAACCGGAUGAAAUUAAGAAAAAUCUGCAGUAGCAGAGGCGGAGAGUGAUGCAAUCUAGUAGGAGGUGGUGGCGGCGGCAUGGGCGCGAGCGGGGAGGAGGAGGCGGUCGCAGAUGGCGGCGAACUCGGCCAUGACGUCGGCGACCAUGGCGGCCUUGCCCUUGCCCACGAGCAUCCUCACCAGCGCGACCACCCGCGCGUCCUCAUCCGCAACGACGANNN
rnacentral:lncRNA from 1 species